rnacentral:rRNA from 1 species
UACGUAGGUGGCAAGCGUUGUCCGGAUUUACUGGGCGUAAAGAGCGCGCAGGCGGUCGGAUCAGUCGAAUGUGAAAGCCCCGGCUCAACUGGGGAGGGUCAUUCGAUACUGUCCGACUCGAAGGCAGGAGAGGGAAGCGGAAUUCCCGGUGUAGUGGUGAAAUGCGUAGAUAUCGGGAGGAACACCAGUGGCGAAGGCGGCUUCUGGACAGUGACGUGACGCUGAGACGCGAAAGCGUGGGGAGCAAACAGGG